UAUUUAUGUAUAUGUCUUUAUAUAUAAUAAAAACAAACUGUACCAUAUGGGUGUAGUAUAUAAAUUGUACUAUUAUCUUACCAGUGCCCAUAAAUUGUGUGAUGAUUUUUGGUUCAGUUAAUUAACUCAAAUUCAGAUAGUAUUUUGUAGGAUUAGGGAAAGUAUGUGCAUGUCAUAUGGUCAAAGCAGCCCAGCCUAUUAGUGUUAGACAUUUAAAAAAUAUUUUCAAAAUAUUCAGUCUUGCCUUUACCUGAUUAUUUGAAGCCUUGAGGCUUAAAUGUGAUUAUUGUGGUCCAUCAAAAUUAUGUUUGUUAAUGUUGUAGGAAAAUAUGUAGAGAUGCUGCUUAAUCAUUAAGGACUAAAUGUGCUCAGAAAUAUUAGGUUUUAGCUGAUCUCCCAGUUGAAACACUGAACUUCUGCAGUGGUGUGAUUAUGCAGAAAUACUUGAAUUGAAUGUACUUUGUCAUUUCUUUAAAAUUCCCCUCCUAAAAAAAGGGCUUCUGUCAUGAGUGGCACACGUAGAGCAGCCUGAUUU